rnacentral:rRNA from 2 species
GGGUUGUGAGGUUAAGCGACUAAGCGUACACGGUGGAUGCCCUGGCAGUCAGAGGCGAUGAAGGGCGUGCUAAUCUGCGAUAAGCGCCGGUAAGGUGAUAUGAACCGUUAUAACCGGCGAUACCCGAAUGGGGAAACCCAGUGUGAUUCGUCACACUAUCAUUAACUGAAUCCAUAGGUUAAUGAGGCGAACCGGGGGAACUGAAACAUCUAAGUACCCCGAGGAAAAGAAAUCAACCGAGAUUCCCCCAGUAGCGGCGAGCGAACGGGGAGGAGCCCAGAGCCUGAAUCAGCAUGUGUGUUAGUGGAAGCGUCUGGAAAGGCGCGCGAUACAGGGUGACAGCCCCGUACACAAAAGCGCAUGUGCUGUGAGCUCGAUGAGUAGGGCGGGACACGUGGUAUCCUGUCUGAAUAUGGGGGACCAUCCUCCAAGGCUAAAUACUCCUGACUGACCGAUAGUGAACCAGUACCGUGAGGGAAAGGCGAAAAGAACCCCGGCGAGGGGAGUGAAAAAGAACCUGAAACCGUGUACGUACAAGCAGUGGGAGCACCCUUUGGGGUGUGACUGCGUACCUUUUGUAUAAUGGGUCAGCGACUUAUAUUCUGUAGCAAGGUUAACCGUAUAGGGGAGCCGGAGGGAAACCGAGUCUUAAUUGGGCGUUAAGUUGCAGGGUAUAGACCCGAAACCCGGUGAUCUAGCCAUGGGCAGGUUGAAGGUUGGGUAACACUAACUGGAGGACCGAACCGACUAAUGUUGAAAAAUUAGCGGAUGACCUGUGGCUGGGGGUGAAAGGCCAAUCAAACCGGGAGAUAGCUGGUUCUCCCCGAAAGCUAUUUAGGUAGCGCCUCGUGAAUUCAUCUCCGGGGUAGAGCACUGUUUCGGCUAGGGGGCCAUCCCGGCUUACCAACCCGAUGCAAACUGCGAAUACCGGAGAAUGUUAUCACGGGAGACACACGGCGGGUGCUAACGUCCGUCGUGAAGAGGGAAACAACCCAGACCGCCAGCUAAGGUCCCAAAGUCAUGGUUAAGUGGGAAACGAUGUGGGAAGGCCCAGACAGCCAGGAUGUUGGCUUAGAAGCAGCCAUCAUUUAAAGAAAGCGUAAUAGCUCACUGGUCGAGUCGGCCUGCGCGGAAGAUGUAACGGGGCUAAACCAUGCACCGAAGCUGCGGCAGCGACGCUGAUGCGUUGUUGGGUAGGGGAGCGUUCUGUAAGCCUGUGAAGGUGUGUCGUGAGGCAUGCUGGAGGUAUCAGAAGUGCGAAUGCUGACAUAAGUAACGAUAAAGCGGGUGAAAAGCCCGCUCGCCGGAAGACCAAGGGUUCCUGUCCAACGUUAAUCGGGGCAGGGUGAGUCGACCCCUAAGGCGAGGCCGAAAGGCGUAGUCGAUGGGAAACGGGUUAAUAUUCCCGUACUUGGUGUUACUGCGAAGGGGGGACGGAGAAGGCUAUGUUGGCCGGGCGACGGUUGUCCCGGUUUAAGCGUGUAGGCUGGUUUUCCAGGCAAAUCCGGAAAAUCAAGGCUGAGGCGUGACGACGAGGCACUACGGUGCUGAAGCAACAAAUGCCCUGCUUCCAGGAAAAGCCUCUAAGCAUCAGGUAACAUCAAAUCGUACCCCAAACCGACACAGGUGGUCAGGUAGAGAAUACCAAGGCGCUUGAGAGAACUCGGGUGAAGGAACUAGGCAAAAUGGUGCCGUAACUUCGGGAGAAGGCACGCUGACACGUAGGUGAAGUGAUUUACUCAUGGAGCUGAAGUCAGUCGAAGAUACCAGCUGGCUGCAACUGUUUAUUAAAAACACAGCACUGUGCAAACACGAAAGUGGACGUAUACGGUGUGACGCCUGCCCGGUGCCGGAAGGUUAAUUGAUGGGGUCAGCGCAAGCGAAGCUCCUGAUCGAAGCCCCGGUAAACGGCGGCCGUAACUAUAACGGUCCUAAGGUAGCGAAAUUCCUUGUCGGGUAAGUUCCGACCUGCACGAAUGGCGUAAUGAUGGCCAGGCUGUCUCCACCCGAGACUCAGUGAAAUUGAACUCGCUGUGAAGAUGCAGUGUACCCGCGGCAAGACGGAAAGACCCCGUGAACCUUUACUAUAGCUUGACACUGAACAUUGAGCCUUGAUGUGUAGGAUAGGUGGGAGGCUUUGAAGUGUGGACGCCAGUCUGCAUGGAGCCGACCUUGAAAUACCACCCUUUAAUGUUUGAUGUUCUAACGUGGACCCGUUACCCGGGUUGCGGACAGUGUCUGGUGGGUAGUUUGACUGGGGCGGUCUCCUCCUAAAGAGUAACGGAGGAGCACGAAGGUUGGCUAAUCCUGGUCGGACAUCAGGAGGUUAGUGCAAUGGCAUAAGCCAGCUUGACUGCGAGCGUGACGGCGCGAGCAGGUGCGAAAGCAGGUCAUAGUGAUCCGGUGGUUCUGAAUGGAAGGGCCAUCGCUCAACGGAUAAAAGGUACUCCGGGGAUAACAGGCUGAUACCGCCCAAGAGUUCAUAUCGACGGCGGUGUUUGGCACCUCGAUGUCGGCUCAUCACAUCCUGGGGCUGAAGUAGGUCCCAAGGGUAUGGCUGUUCGCCAUUUAAAGUGGUACGCGAGCUGGGUUUAGAACGUCGUGAGACAGUUCGGUCCCUAUCUGCCGUGGGCGCUGGAGAACUGAGGGGGGCUGCUCCUAGUACGAGAGGACCGGAGUGGACGCAUCACUGGUGUUCGGGUUGUCAUGCCAAUGGCACUGCCCGGUAGCUAAAUGCGGAAGAGAUAAGUGCUGAAAGCAUCUAAGCACGAAACUUGCCCCGAGAUGAGUUCUCCCUGAGACUUAGAGUCUCCUGAAGGAACGUUGAAGACGACGACGUUGAUAGGCCGGGUGUGUAAGCGCAGCGAUGCGUUGAGCUAACCGGUACUAAUGAACCGUGAGGCUUAACCUUACAACGCCGAAG